AGUGAGCGCUGGCGGUAGGCCUAACACAUGCAAGUCGAACGGCAGCACAGUAAGAGCUUGCUCUUACGGGUGGCGAGUGGCGGACGGGUGAGGAAUACAUCGGAAUCUACUUUUUCGUGGGGGAUAACGUAGGGAAACUUACGCUAAUACCGCAUACGACCUACGGGUGAAAGCAGGGGAUCUUCGGACCUUGCGCGAUUGAAUGAGCCGAUGUCGGAUUAGCUAGUUGGCGGGGUAAAGGCCCACCAAGGCGACGAUCCGUAGCCGGUCUGAGAGGAUGAUCAGCCACACUGGAACUGAGACACGGUCCAGACUCCUACGGGAGGCAGCAGUGGGGAAUAUUGGACAAUGGGCGCAAGCCUGAUCCAGCCAUACCGCGUGGGUGAAGAAGGCCUUCGGGUUGUAAAGCCCUUUUGUUGGGAAAGAAAAGCAGCAGGUUAAUACCCCGCUGUUCUGACGGUACCCAAAGAAUAAGCACCGGCUAACUUCGUG
rnacentral:rRNA from 1 species